UCCCUUGAACUGGAUUUGAACCAGUAAACUAAAGAUCACUGUUAUUACAUCUACAGUCCACUCUGCCAACUGAGUUAUAAAGGG